UACGAAGGGGGCGAGCGUUGUUCGGAUUUACUGGGCGUAAAGCGUGCGUAGGUGGUGCGUUAAGUCUGUCGUGAAAGCCCCGGGCUCAACCUGGGAAUGGCGAUGGAUACUGGCGCGCUAGAGUGCGGUAGAGGAGAGUGGAAUUCCCGGUGUAGCAGUGAAAUGCGUAGAGAUCGGGAGGAACAUCAGUUGCGAAGGCGGCUCUCUGGACCAGCACUGACACUGAGGCACGAAAGCGUGGGGAGCAAACAGG
rnacentral:rRNA from 1 species